rnacentral:misc_RNA from 13 species
AUGAACAUGAAGAAGGAAGGUGAAUUUACUCGAUUAAAACGAAAUGCUUCAAAACUUCUCCAUCAAGCUCAUGAACAAACUCACGCACAACAACGCCGGUUGUCUACAAAUGGAAGAUGCCGGUCAGCAUGCGAUCAACUGGAUGCACGUGUCAGAAAACGAUUGAGCUCUUUCACCGUAUGUUAAUAGCCGGUGAAAUGGGCUGGAAAACCGAGCAAGUUGUCACCUCUAAUGUUCGCAUCACAUGGAUGGAUUUGUGUAUCCUCAGAUAUGGUGCAGUGUGAGGCCUGUGGUCAAUAUAUGAGUGUUUUGAUACCCUCACUAGUGCAUGCUGAUGUUAGCGUUUAUCAAAAAUCAGUCAGAAUGCUUAUUUCCAUGAUCACCAUGAAACAUUACGUUACAUGUCCAUAUAAGUACACUUCUUCUGGUACAGAUGAUGCUGUAUCACUGAACGCACUCUCUAAAGACACUGUCAAUCAUAGUUAUGAAAUAAUGAAGAAGCUUGAUCUCAAGCAAAUUAAAUUGGAUAUCCCCGGAACCCUGUCAACUAUAAUUCCUGAGACGAUUGUACAAAAGUGCAAAGCACUCAUUUGUUUUGGCUGGCAAAAAAGCAAAUAUUUGGAUGAUGCUGUAGUUUGCAUAUAUUGCAAUAGGACAGUGGGACUAUGGCUUUUAAGAGGACGUUUUUUUGAUGUCGAGAAACAACAUCAUAAUUGGUGUACUUUUGCAUCAGAUACAAGCCGACAUACAGAUGGAUGGCAGUGCCGUCAGUUUGUACUUCAAUAUAUUAACAGCUCAAAGGAUCUUCCCGUCACAAACUGGGCUGCUAAAGCAGAAGUUUGGAAAUCAGCUAUAAUGCCAAAAAAUAUAUCAUCUCUCAUAAAAGAAUAA